UACGGAGGGUGCAAGCGUUAUCCGGAUUUACUGGGUUUAAAGGGUGCGUAGGCGGACUUUUAAGUCAGUGGUGAAAUCCCCGAGCUUAACUCGGAAACUGCCAUUGAUACUAUUAGUCUUGAAUUCGGUCGAGGUUGGCGGAAUGUGUCGUGUAGCGGUGAAAUGCUUAGAUAUGACACAGAACACCGAUUGACGAAGGCAGCUAGCUAGACCGACAUUGACGCUGAGGCACGAAAGCGUGGG
rnacentral:rRNA from 1 species